rnacentral:rRNA from 1 species
UUUAUGCUUGCAUAAAUGAUUUUUGGAUUCGGAGCGAGUGGCGAACUGGUGAGUAACACGUGGGUAACCUGCCCCGAAGCGGGGGAUAACAUUUGGAAACAAGUGCUAAUACCGCAUAAUUAGUUGGAACCGCAUGGUUCCAACUUGAAAGAUGGCUCUGCUAUCACUUUGGGAUGGACCCGCGCCGUAUUAGUUAGUUGGUGAGAUAAAAGCCCACCAAGACGAUGAUACGUAGCCGACCUGAGAGGGUAAUCGGCCACAUUGGGACUGAGACACGGCCCAGACUCCUACGGGAGGCAGCAGUAGGGAAUCUUCCACAAUGGACGAAAGUCUGAUGGAGCAACGCCGCGUGAGUGAUGAAGGUUUUCGGAUCGUAAAACUCUGUUGUUAAAGAAGAACAAGUGUUAGAGUAACUGUUAACACUUUGACGGUAUUUAACCAGAAAGCCACGGCUAACUACGUGCCAGCAGCCGCGGUAAUACGUAGGUGGCAAGCGUUGUCCGGAUUUAUUGGGCGUAAAGCGAGCGCAGGCGGUUUUGUAAGUCUGCUGUGAAAGCCCUCAGCUCAACUGAGGAAGUGCAGUGGAAACUACAAAACUUGAGUACAGAAGAGGAAAGUGGAACUCCAUGUGUAGCGGUGAAAUGCGUAGAUAUAUGGAAGAACACCAGUGGCGAAGGCGGCUUUCUGGUCUGUUACUGACGCUGAGGCUCGAAAGCAUGGGUAGCGAACAGGAUUAGAUACCCUGGUAGUCCAUGCCGUAAACGAUGAAUACUAGGUGUUUGGAAGGGUUUCCGCCCUUCAGUGCCGCAGCUAACGCAUUAAGUAUUCCGCCUGGGGGAGUACGACCGCAAGGUUGAAACUCAAAGGAAUUGACGGGGGCCCGCACAAGUGGUGGAGCAUGUGGUUUAAUUCGAUGCUACGCGAAGAACCUUACCAGCUCUUGACAUCUUCUGCCAACCCAAGAGAUUGGGCGUUCCCUUCGGGGACAGAAUGACAGGUGGUGCAUGGUUGUCGUCAGCUCGUGUCGUGAGAUGUUGGGUUAAGUCCCGCAACGAGCGCAACCCUUAUUAUUAGUUGCCAGCAUUUAGUUGGGCACUCUAGUGAGACUGCCGGUGAUAAACCGGAGGAAGGUGGGGACGACGUCAAAUCAUCAUGCCCCUUAUGAGCUGGGCUACACACGUGCUACAAUGGAUGGUACAACGAGUCGCGAAACCGCGAGGUCAAGCUAAUCUCUUAAAGCCAUUCUCAGUUCGGAUUGCAGGCUGCAACUCGCCUGCAUGAAGUUGGAAUCACUAGUAAUCGUGGAUCAGCAUGCCACGGUGAAUACGUUCCCGGGCCUUGUACACACCGCCCGUCACACCAUGAGAGUUUGUAACACC